GCUGUGUGUGGUGGUGCACACCUGUUAUCCCAGUGACUUGGGAGGCUGAGGCAGGAGGAUUGCAAGUUUGAGGUCAGCUUCAGCAACUUAGUGAGACCCUGUCUAAA
rnacentral:sRNA from 1 species